rnacentral:rRNA from 1 species
GGGUUGUGAGGUUAAGCGACCAAGCGUACACGGUGGAUGCCCUGGCAGUCAGAGGCGAUGAAGGACGUGCUAAUCUGCGAUAAGCGCCGGUAAGGUGAUAUGAACCGUUAUAACCGGCGAUUUCCGAAUGGGGAAACCCAGUGUGAUUCGUCACACUAUCAUUAACUGAAUCCAUAGGUUAAUGAGGCGAACCGGGGGAACUGAAACAUCUAAGUACCCCGAGGAAAAGAAAUCAACCGAGAUUCCCCCAGUAGCGGCGAGCGAACGGGGAGGAGCCCAGAGCCUGAAUCAGCAUGUGUGUUAGUGGAAGCGUCUGGAAAGGCGCGCGAUACAGGGUGACAGCCCCGUACACAAAAGCGCAUAUGCUGUGAGCUCGAUGAGUAGGGCGGGACACGUGGUAUCCUGUCUGAAUAUGGGGGGACCAUCCUCCAAGGCUAAAUACUCCUGACUGACCGAUAGUGAACCAGUACCGUGAGGGAAAGGCGAAAAGAACCCCGGCGAGGGGAGUGAAACAGAACCUGAAACCGUGUACGUACAAGCAGUGGGAGC